rnacentral:rRNA from 18 species
GGAUGAACGCUGGCGGCGUGCCUAAUACAUGCAAGUCGAGCGAACAGAUAAGGAGCUUGCUCCUUUGACGUUAGCGGCGGACGGGUGAGUAACACGUGGGUAACCUACCUAUAAGACUGGAAUAACUCCGGGAAACCGGGGCUAAUGCCGGAUAACAUGUUGAACCGCAUGGUUCUACAGUGAAAGACGGUCUUGCUGUCACUUAUAGAUGGACCCGCGCCGUAUUAGCUAGUUGGUGGGGUAACGGCCUACCAAGGCGACGAUACGUAGCCGACCUGAGAGGGUGAUCGGCCACACUGGAACUGAGACACGGUCCAGACUCCUACGGGAGGCAGCAGUAGGGAAUCUUCCGCAAUGGGCGAAAGCCUGACGGAGCAACGCCGCGUGAGUGAUGAAGGUCUUCGGAUCGUAAAGCUCUGUUGUUAGGGAAGAACAAAUGUGUAAGUAACUGUGCACAUCUUGACGGUACCUAACCAGAAAGCCACGGCUAACUACGUGCCAGCAGCCGCGGUAAUACGUAGGUGGCAAGCGUUAUCCGGAAUUAUUGGGCGUAAAGCGCGCGUAGGCGGUUUUUUAAGUCUGAUGUGAAAGCCCACGGCUCAACCGUGGAGGGUCAUUGGAAACUGGAAAACUUGAGUGCAGAAGAGGAAAGUGGAAUUCCAUGUGUAGCGGUGAAAUGCGCAGAGAUAUGGAGGAACACCAGUGGCGAAGGCGGCUUUCUGGUCUGCAACUGACGCUGAUGUGCGAAAGCGUGGGGAUCAAACAGGAUUAGAUACCCUGGUAGUCCACGCCGUAAACGAUGAGUGCUAAGUGUUAGGGGGUUUCCGCCCCUUAGUGCUGCAGCUAACGCAUUAAGCACUCCGCCUGGGGAGUACGGUCGCAAGACUGAAACUCAAAGGAAUUGACGGGGACCCGCACAAGCGGUGGAGCAUGU